rnacentral:lncRNA from 1 species
GCUGGUGGGAAUUAUAUUUUACUCAGGUUGGGUUCAAAUUGUACAUCGUGUACAAUCUAUCAUAAAACUGAUGGCUUAAAGCUCAACAGGCUUCAUAAUAUAAUCUGCAACAACAAAAAAUAGGUAAAUCAAACAAAAAAGGAUAAGAGUGUAACGUAUAUACUAUUUUGUAUACUGUUUUGUUACUAGCUGCGUUUGUAUGCUUAUAAAUGGCUCUUAUACUGCAAGAAAUAACAAAUAGGCAAAC